GAGAGAGUCCACCUGCUCAUCUGAGUCCCCUGCGGACCCGGCCACGGCCGCUUUGGAAAGUGCGCACGCCCGCCCUCCAGCAGGCAGCCCUCGAGGCGGGGGUCUCCCAGCUGUUUGCAGACCUGGCCGUCUGCUAAGGGAGAGGAGAGCUGCCCCUGGGGGGCUCCCCGUGGCCCCGGCUCAGCCCCCUCCACGUCCCUGCAGCCCCGGGCAUGGCCAGCUGACCCCGGGGCGCCCCGCCAGCCCCGAGCACCCCAAUCCCCCACUGGCGCUGGUGGCAAAGGUCGUGACCCUCAUCCCUCGGGGCUCGGUGCCCAGCGGGAACAUCCCUUAGGAAGAUUUGGUGAUUGCUUGAGGGCCAGGGGAACGUCACCUCUUUCCUCCAGCAAAGCCCCUCUGCGUCCCCACAUGGGUCCCUCCUAGGACAGGGGCGCCACCCCCACCCCUGCCCCGUGCCGGCGCACGCCCGGCAGGCUGGGACGGCGGGACCAGCAAGGAGCUGGGUGCCGGGAACCGCUGCUCACACCUGCUGCACCACAUCUCACUGCGUGGCUCUGGGCACGCCCCUUGCCGCCACGUGGCUCCGUGUCCCCAGAGGCUGCAGGGCCACUUAGGUUCUGAAGGCGGACGGUGGCCUGUGGAUCUUCCAGUGCAGAGCCAUCUUACCCGACACGACGUCAUCGUGCUCCGCUUGUAGGCCCCCUACCUGUCAGGCACCCGAUGGAACGACACGCUCUCCCGGAGGCCAGUCCUGCCUCCCCUCCUCCUCUCCUGGCCACAGCCC